rnacentral:rRNA from 1 species
UACGGGGGGGGGCAAGCGUUGUUCGGAAUUACUGGGCGUAAAGGGCUCGUAGGCGGCCAACUAAGUCGGAUGUGAAAUCCCCAGGCUUAACCUGGGAACUGCAUCCGAUACUGGAUGGCUUGAAUUCGGGAGAGGGAUGCAGAAUUCCAGGUGUAGCGGUGAAAUGCGUAGAUAUCUGGAGGAAUACCGGUGGCGAAGGCGGCAUCCUGGACCAGAUUGACGCUGAGGCAGC